rnacentral:rRNA from 1 species
UAGCCGUAAACGAUACUCGCUAGGUGUCGGCCACGGUGCGACCGUUGUCGGUGCCGUAGGGAAGCCGUGAAGCGAGCCACCUGGGAAGUACGGCCGCAAGGCUGAAACUUAAAGGAAUUGGCGGGGGAGCACCACAACGGGUGGAGCUUGCGGUUUAAUUGGAUUUCAACGCCGGAAAUCUUACCGGGACCGACAGCAACAUGAAGGCCAAGCUGAAGACUUUGCCGGAUUAGCUGAGAGGUGGUGCAUGGCGUAGUCGUGU